CCAUUGAUCAACGCACAGGAGCUAGGCCGCCCCAUGGACUGUGAUAAAAAUCGAUGGAAUUUUUUUAUGGAUCACGACCCAGGUUCUAUGGAUCGAGCGAUCGGUCAAUAAUGCCCCGACUGCUUUAAAAUUGAUUUUAGGCUGAUUUUUUGGGCCUUUUGUCUUCUUCUCCAUUUUUAAUAUUUCUUGUUAUGUACCUGACAAAAUUGAGCUUGAAUUUGAGUUUAAUUGGGCUUGAUGUAAUAAAAUCUCCAUGACUAAUAAUUCUUGGAAAGGAGCA
rnacentral:lncRNA from 1 species